rnacentral:rRNA from 1 species
AACGAACGCUGGCGGCGUGCUUAACACAUGCAAGUCGAGCGGUAAGGCCCUUUCGGGGGUACACGAGCGGCGAACGGGUGAGUAACACGUGGGUGACCUGCCCUCAGCUCUGGGAUAAGCCUGGGAAACCGGGUCUAAUACCGGAUAUGACUCCAUGACGCAUGUUGUGGGGUGGAAAGCCUUGUGCGGCUGAGGAUGGGCCCGCGGCCUAUCAGCUUGUUGGUGGGGUGAUGGCCUACCAAGGCGACGACGGGUAGCCGGCCUGAGAGGGCGACCGGCCACACUGGGACUGAGACACGGCCCAGACUCCUACGGGAGGCAGCAGUGGGGAAUCUUGCGCAAUGGGCGAAAGCCUGACGCAGCGACGCCGCGUGAGGGAUGACGGCCU